rnacentral:tRNA from 1 species
CGGGUUGUGGCUCAGUGGUAGAAUGCUCACCUAGCAUGUGUGGGGCACUGAGUUCAAUCCUCAGCAGCACUA